ACUGGAAUAUUUUUGUGAGCAUUUAAAUUUAGCACUUAAAUAAUUUCUGUGGAAAAUAAAAUUCAUCAUAAGUUUAGUAAACUCGAUUGUGCAUUCAUGCUGAAAUAUGUUUUAUUUUGUGUUGAUUUGUUUUGGUUUGUAUUUUUUUUGUCCUCAAAAUCCUCUUGACAAAGGCUUUGUAAAAACAAAAUAGAAGAAAAAGAAGAAAAAGAAAAGAAAAAGAAAACCCCGGCCUGCUCCCUUUCCCCCCGCGCGCGCAACCGGCCCAGCAGCCAGCCAGCACGCCGUCCCUCUUUCUCCUUUGGAUGACAGGCGGGUCCUGCGCCGUUUAGUCGCUGACCAGUGGGACCCAGACGGCAGCGUCCCUUUCCCCCUUUCCAUCUUCUUCCCCGAGCCGUGAAGGGAGCGGAUGCCUACCACCGGUAGGAAAUCCCGACUCUCCCGGGAUUUUACGCAUGGAGAUGGAAUCCGCCCCUAUAAAGUCCCGAGAUGUUCCCCGCAAUCCUUU
rnacentral:lncRNA from 1 species